UGUGUGUGUGUGUGUGUGUUAUGUCUCUCGCUCGCUCUUUCCAUAGCUCGCGGUCGAUGAUCAAGACGGUCGGGUGUGUGUGCACGUGCGUGUAAUAAUGCGCAGCAGCACAGAUGCUGUUGACCUUGCGUUAAAAGCGCUGUCGAAUCCGUGUACAGCGAUCUCCCAGUCCUGUCGCGUUUUUCGCCAACGCUAUUACUCCGUGUUAAAGAUAUAAGCGGCUAUUAAGGGGGGAGACUCGAGUAAAAUUAAAAAAAAAAAAGAAGAAGAAGAAAAAACGAUAUUUUUUAAAAACGUAGCUGUAGAAGUUCCAGUUUGAAAUUUGAUGUUAAUAAUGGUUUUACAGUUAUAUAUUAGGUUAGCUAAAAAGUUUGUUAGGUUUGUGGUGAUGGUUGUUUGUCCGCAGUUCUGAUGGUUGCUAACUCGACGAGCUCUUCUACAAACGCGGAAUCAUGAAUUUGCCCAAAAGAUAGGAAACGAUCUUACGAUUUUCAUAUAAAAAGCCACGAUUUCGAUUUGCACGGCAUUCCAAGGAAUCAAUCUUCUGUACUUUAACCAGCAUUUCAAUAUACGAAACCGAAUACUUUAAAAUAGUAUUUUCUAUAAAGUUAUUUCAAGAGCGCGGGGCGUCCAAGCUCAAAACGUCUUGUUGUCGUUCGAAAAAACGCUCGAAAAUUUAAACGCGCCGCGAUGUAAAUUUACGAUUUCAAGAAGAUUCUAUUCGAUCCCGUACAAUGACGGUGAACCUGGUCGAUUGAAAAACCGUGAGAUUUUUGCGAUGGCUGCCACUUUGCCCUCUUGCCGAUGGAAUAAGUGUGUCACGGCCAGCCGGUAGUAGGAACGACGCUCGUUCAGUCGAGCCAGGAAAGCUUCUGUGCCGAUAUACACGACCGAAAGGUAGAGGAGGUUAUUACGAGCAUCGCCUCUCUCCGUCUCCUUCCUUUUCUCUCGCACUGGUUCUCCAACUCGCUCCCUCGAUGUGCCAGACUCAUUUAACCUUUACGAGCACGGAGUACGACACGAUAGAGAAAGAAGAGAGGAUCGCACGAGAGCCUAGCACCAAAGGAUCGGUUGUCGCCGAGAGCUGACCCUCCCCAAUACCUUUGAGCAUUUUUUUAUAUUUCGUAAAUUCGAAAUAUCUCUACACCCACUCAGAGUUUGUUGAACGUGCAUGCACGAAUAUCCUGCGGAGUAAACAAACAGUCUGCUCCGAAAAAUUUUUUUCGUAUGAAUUUUCUUAGUUCACAUAGAAGAAAAAUGUAUGAAAAUGAAAAUUUCUUUUGGUUUAUUUGUGUCAAACCAAAAUUACGACCUGCAUCUUUCUCGCCGAUAGGAGAUUUUAAUUGUGAGGUGCUCUACAAAUGUGCGUCGCAGUCGACUCAAUUUGAAUAUUUCUUGUUGAAAAAAUUUGUACAGACUACUCAAAUAUGUAUGAAAAUAGGAUAAAAAGUUCGAUAGAAUUAAUUAUUCUUUUCCAUCCUAAAAAAAUUCACGAAAAACCGCUUUUUUAGACCUCCUAAUUCAGGAUACCCCCUUACAGUGCUAUGCAUGGAAAUUGAGUAUUAGGUCUCAAACGAACAAGUAUUUUCUUUAACACCUCAUC